CAUCUCUGUGUAAAAUCCAACGCUCAGGAUCGUCUCCACCUCUCCACCGCGCCCUCCUCUCCGCCCCCUUUCUCUCGCUCUCACGCGUCCCCGCCCGUCCCCAACCGCGCGCCGCUCCCCAACCCUAAUCUCUCCCUCUCACGCGGCGCCACCGCCGUCGUCGCCGCCCUCGACUGCCGCUGCUCCGCCGUCGUCGCAUCCGUCGUCUCGCCGCCACCGAUCCCCGCGCCACCACCAUCGCCGCCGCCCUCGACUGCCGCCACUCCGCCGUCACCCAUCGUCGCAUCCGUCGUCGCCGCCGCCCUCGACUGCCGCCGCUCCGCCGUCGUCGCCGCCACCCUCGACUGCCGCCGCUCCGCCUUCGUCGCAUCCGUCGUCUCGCCGCCACCGAUCCCCGCCGCCGGCUCGCCCUCAACCAAUCCCCAUCACCGUCGUCGCAUCCGUCGUCGUCCAGGAUUUACGUCACCGUUCCGUCACCGCACCCACACGAUGAUCCCCGGCGACGGAACGGGUCAUGGUGGCCAGGGAGGAUACUCGGGCCCGACGAGCUCCCGGCGUCUCAGGUUCAUUCUAUCUUAUUUUCUGGUGCUUCUGAAGCGAUGCUUGUGUAGAGAAGAAAAGGUGGAAUUGUGGAAGGUAAUCGCGGGGAGUUUUGGUUCAUUUUUUGAAGAUUUCUCUAAUUGCGGCGCUGGGGACGAUGGUUGCAGUGGCGCCGGGGACGACAGUGAUGGGGAUGGAAGCGCUAGGACACCGGAAGUGGAGGGGCGGUGGGCGGUUGGACGAGGCGGCGGUGCUGCGAGCAACGAAGCCAGGACGCCGGCGGUGGAGGUGUGGUUGGCAGAGAAUGGGGAGGGCGGCGGCGCUGCGGGCGACAGCGCCAAUACGCCGACGGUGAAGGCGUGGUGGGCAAAGGACGGGGAGGGCGCUGGCGCUGCGGGCGACGGGGAGGGCGGCGGCGCUGCAGAUGACGGGGAGGGUGACAGCACUGUGGGCGAUGACGCCAGGACGCCGACGAUGGAGGCAUGGUGA
rnacentral:lncRNA from 1 species